rnacentral:rRNA from 1 species
UACGUAGGGGGCGAGCGUUAUCCGGAAUUAUUGGGCGUAAAGCGCGCGCAGGCGGUCAUUUAAGUCAGGUGUGAAAGGCUGCGGCUCAACCGCAGAGCGGCACCUGAAACUGGAUGACUUGAGUGCAGGAGAGGAGAGUGGAAUUCCCGGUGUAGCGGUGGAAUGCGUAGAGAUUGGGAGGAACACCAGUGGCGAAGGCGGCUCUCUGGCCUGUUACUGACGCUAAGGCGCGAAAGCGUGGGGAGCAAACAGG